GAUGAAAGAACGUAGCGAAAUGCGAUAAGUAGUGUGAAUUGCAGAAUUCAGUGAAUCAUCGAAUCUUUGAACGCACAUUGCGCCCUUUGGUAUUCCAAAGGGCAUGCCUGUUCGAGCGUCAUUUGUACCCUCAAGCUUUGCUUGGUGUUGGGCGUCUUGUCUCUAGCUUUGCUGGAGACUCGCCUUAAAGUAAUUGGCAGCCGGCCUACUGGUUUCGGAGCGCAGCACAAGUCGCACUCUCUAUCAGCAAAGGUCUAGCAUCCACUAAGCCUUUUUUUCAACUUUUGACCUCGGAUCAGGUAGGGAUACCCGCUGAACUUAAGCAUAUCAAUAAGCGGAGGA
rnacentral:misc_RNA from 1 species